UGCUAGCUCCUCGUUAAGGAAGUGACAAGGUUGUAGACACUGGAGGUGGCUCAGUUACAACUGCCUUUACCGUGUGGCUGAGAAUUCACUCCCUUCCAGGUCUGGACCUCAUGGUUCUGUCACCAAAUCGGCUGCCCCUGGAUAGAACAAAAAGGCAGAGGCCCUUCUCUUCUGAGCUGGGACACCCAUCGUCUCCUGCCCUUGGACAUGAGAACUGCACAUUCUCCGGCUUUCAGACUCUGAGACUUACAUCACUGGCUCCCAGGUUUUGACAACUUUGGACUUGAACUGAGCUAUGCAACUGGCUUCCCGGGUGCUCCAACUUGCAGUGGGACUUCUUCCUCAGCCUCCAUAAUUGAUGAACAGAGCAAACCUUAUCACCAGAGAUGGAGAAUCAGAACCAAGAUGAGUCUGCACAAAUGAAGCUUACUAAAAUUAUACUUAUCUUCCAUUCAUUUCCCCCACAUCCA